rnacentral:rRNA from 1 species
AACGUAGGACACGAGCGUUAUCCGGAGUUACUGUGCGUAAAGGGCGUUUAGGCGGGUGACUAAGUUCGCUAUGAAAGCGCCGGGCUAAACCCGGCGAGGCUGGCGGAUACUGGUGAUCUGGAGUGAGGUAGAGGGAAGUAGAAUUCCGCGUGUAGUGGUGAAAUGCGUAGAGAUGCGGAGGAAUACCAGUGGCGAAGGCGACUUCCUGGACCUUAACUGACGCUGAAGCGCGAAAGCAUGGGGAGCGAACGGG